AUUGAACGCUGGCGGCAGGCCUAACACAUGCAAGUCGAGCGGAUGAGGGGAGCUUGCUUCCCGAUUCAGCGGCGGACGGGUGAGUAAUGCCUAGGAAUCUGCCCGAUAGUGGGGGACAACGUUUCGAAAGGAACGCUAAUACCGCAUACGUCCUACGGGAGAAAGUGGGGGAUCUUCGGACCUCACGCUAUCGGAUGAGCCUAGGUCGGAUUAGCUAGUUGGUGAGGUAAUGGCUCACCAAGGCGACGAUCCGUAACUGGUCUGAGAGGAUGAUCAGUCACACUGGUACUGAGACACGGUCCAGACUCCUACGGGAGGCAGCAGUGGGGAAUAUUGGACAAUGGGCGAAAGCCUGAUCCAGCCAUGCCGCGUGUGUGAAGAAGGUCUUCGGAUUGUAAAGCACUUUAAGUUGGGAGGAAGGGCAGUAAGUUAAUACCUUGCUGUUUUGACGUUACCAACAGAAUAAGCACCGGCUAACUUCGUGCCAGCCGCCGCAGUAAAAC
rnacentral:rRNA from 1 species